UACGGGGGGAGCAAGCGUUGUUCGGAUUUACUGGGCGUAAAGGGCGCGUAGGCGGUGCGGUAAGUCUUUUGUGAAAUCUCCGGGCUCAACUCGGAGUCUGCAGGAGAAACUGCCGUGCUUGAGUGUGGGAGAGGUGAGUGGAAUUCCCGGUGUAGCGGUGAAAUGCGUAGAUAUCUGGAGGAACACCGGUGGCGAAGGCGGCGUUCUGGACUGCAACUGACACUGAGGAACGAAAGCCAGGGGAGCGAACGGG
rnacentral:rRNA from 1 species